AUUGAACGCUGGCGGCAGGCCUAACACAUGCAAGUCGAGCGGAUGAAGGGAGCUUGCUCCUGGAUUCAGCGGCGGACGGGUGAGUAAUGCCUAGGAAUCUGCCUGGUAGUGGGGGAUAACGUCCGGAAACGGGCGCUAAUACCGCAUCCGUCCUGAGGGAGAAAGUGGGGGAUCUUCGGACCUCACGCUAUCAGAUGAGCCUAGGUCGGAUUAGCUAGUUGGUGGGGUAAAGGCCUACCAAGGCGACGAUCCGUAACUGGUCUGAGAGGGUGAUCAGUCACACUGGAACUGAGACACGGUCCAGACUCCUACGGGAGGCAGCAGUGGGGAAUAUUGGACAAUGGGCGAAAGCCUGAUCCAGCCAUGCCGCGUGUGUGAAGAAGGUCUUCGGAUUGUAAAGCACUUUUAGUUGGGAGGAAGAGCAGUAAGUUAAUACCUUGCUGUUUUGACGUUACCAACAGAAUAAGCACCGGCUAACUUCGUG
rnacentral:rRNA from 1 species